AGCAGAAUGGCGCUGUGGAAGCGUGCUGGGCCCAUAACCCAGAAGUGCGAAGGUCCGAGGAUCGAAACCUUGUUCUGCUA